UAAGUUAAGUCUCCUGAAGGAACGUUGAAGACGACGACGUUGAUAGGUCGGGUGUGUAAGCGCAGCGAUGCGUUGAGCUAACCGAUACUAAUGAACCGUGAGGCUUAACCUU
rnacentral:rRNA from 1 species